UUUCUGACUGCUCUUUAGCAAUUGGGAAGAUAAGAGUCAUUUGCUGGCAAGGACCAUCUCAUGGAGUUCUAAGAAUGCAAUCAAAGAGGCAGAAAUCAGAGCCGGGAGAGACACCAAGCUCCAAUGACCAUGCCAUCCCAGAGAUGAUAACACAAUAAAGUAUCUUUGCAAGAACCGUGUUAGCACCUGUGCAAUGACUGGGAGGAACCCGAUGACACUGCCCUCAAGAAAAGAUCCUCAAAGCUUCAUGGAAGAUACUGCAAGGGAGCAGACUGGUAAAGAGGGAAAGCCCAGGAACUCACAAGAGGAAAGGAAAUGGAGAUGGCAGCAGCAGGGAGAGGCACAUUAGCCCCAAAAAGAUCCAUCUGGGAGGGAUGAGAACUGCCCACCGGCUCAUGCCCUUACUGGGUGAUCAGUGAAGUAAGCAGAGCCUGCGAAGACUAGACUGAGGUUUCCACCAGCAUGGCAGUCUACUCCUGGCUCAACCUUGAGGGGUGGUCCAGGGCAAUUUUGGCCACAGUUGAAGAAAUGAUGCCACUAAGGGGAAGGAGAUGACUCAGGGGUAGAAGGAUACCUGAGC
rnacentral:lncRNA from 1 species